UACGGAGGGUGCGAGCGUUAUCCGGAUUCACUGGGUUUAAAGGGUGCGUAGGUGGGCAGGUAAGUCAGUGGUGAAAUCUCCGGGCUUAACCCGGAAACUGCCAUUGAUACUAUCAGUCUUGAAUACCGUGGAGGUAAGCGGAAUAUGUCAUGUAGCGGUGAAAUGCUUAGAUAUGACAUAGAACACCAAUUGCGAAGGCAGCUUACUACCCGAAUAUUGACACUGAGGCACGAAAGCGUGGGGAUCAAAACAGG
rnacentral:rRNA from 1 species